rnacentral:rRNA from 1 species
CACGCAGGCGGUUUGUUAAGUCAGAUGUGAAAUCCCCGGGCUCAACCUGGGAACUGCAUCUGAUACUGGCAAGCUUGAGUCUCGUAGAGGGGGGUAGGAAUUCCAGGUGUAGCGGUGAAAUGCGUAGAGAUCUGGAGGAAUACCGGUGGCGAAGGCGGGCCCCCGUCGGACGAAGACUGACGCUCAGGUGCGAAAGCGUGGGGAGCAAACA